CUUUCCCGCUGGAAAACGCAUCCCCGUCCCGUGCCCUUCCCGCCGCCGAUAGGCCGGGAGCUGCGGCUGAGGCCGCUGACGGCGCGCUGAGGCGGACGCGGCACAGGGCAGAUCCCUCGUGGGGCUCCUUCACAGAACAAGUGCGAGGAGUGGCAGAAAUAGGUCCGAGAUUCAGCCUCUGGAGGAUAAACUUGGCUCUGCGGCUCCUUCUGAGGGAGGUUGUUGUCGCAUGUGUAGGAGAUGUACAAACAGAUUGCUGCAGUUACCCAAUUAAGAUUUCUGGCAGCCUUUGACAGCACAAAGGGAUGUCAAGUGUGGCUGAUGUACGUGUCAGGUGAAUGGUUACCUAAUUCCUUUGAAAUGGAAAGGUGCACAGAGGAUGUGUGUGGAACAGGAACAGCCAGUCCUGGGCCCAGCCUUCAUCUGGGGCAAAUGGCAAAUUUAUGUCCUUGAGGCUGAACAUCAGUUGUCAGCGUGCCUCAAAGUAGCAAUAAGUAUGUAGUGCAUAAAUCUGAAACAAGGACAGCAGCUUCAAAAACACCAAACAAUCUGAAGCAGACUAUAAAUUCAAGUCAAACUUGUUCAUGGAAUCUCUCAGUCUGCAAGUUUGUUCUCGCAGAUCCUUCAAAAGCCAUGCUUAGGCCUGAAAUAGUUGGAUUUUGGGGCCUCUCUGCUAUUUCAAUUAGGUUCUUGGAUAGUCUUAGAAUCCCAUGUGAGUCCUCAGAUGAUGGAUUAAAAUAUGCAGUGAGUCAUGUUAAAUUGGUGCCAAUUGAAAUGCACAGGUUGUAAAUCACUGCAGAAUUUGACUCAGUAAGUAGCAACCAUAAAUGUAAUACUUUGCAAUUCUAAGCACUGCGACUAUCUUAGAUUAGCUUCUCUUUUCCUUCUGAGAAACAAAAAACGCUUCAUACAAUAAUUUCAUAAAAUGUAUUGGUCUUCACAGGAAGGCUGAGAAGUGACACUGAUUGGUGUCCAAGCUGUUAACUGGUUAAAUGAAGUGACAAAAGGGAUGGGUGGGUGCCUUGUGGCUCAUGGUUGGGCAUGAGAGCUGUGGUAGAGCCAGGAACAUAAUCCAAGUCUCCUGACUCCUGGAUUUGAACUUUAAAACCAGAUCAAGUUUCCUUUGUGCUUUCAGUCCAUAAACUGACCUUUAGGAAUCAUAUUUACCUACAAGUUCCCAGAAGAGAUUUGCUUUCCCUGGUCAUGCUUUCCUGGUAUCAGUUACUGUUUUCUCUGAUGAGUAUUUUGAGCAUGUAGAACACAGAGAGAACAGAUGAGAAUGGUAUUUCUGAUGGAGGUGCCUGUGAGUUCCCCAUCACUUAAUCCUGGACAAACACUGUUUCUGUAAACACUGAUACACAUCCUUUCUUCCUCAGUGCUGAGGGGAAGCCAAGUGUGGUGAGCGUGGAGAGGAAUCUGGGCUGGGUGAACUAGGAAGCUGCUGCUCUGAGAUUUUGCUUUAUGUUGAGACUCUCCCAGUCCUCACACCUUCCCAGAAGGAAAGGACCAUUCCUCUCCUCUCAUGUCUCUUUAAUGUUAAAGAAGAGGAGGCAUGAAAAGUUUAGAUAAUGCUAAGCCACUGCAGCAGAUGCUGCCGAGCAAAGCUGUGACAGAGCUCGGCCACAGAGAGCAGCAAAUCCGAGUGGGACGAAACCUGAGCAAAUGAGAAUCCUGCUCCCUGCUUGAAGAGAGAUCACCUUAUAUGGGAACACCAUGGACAAGAGGAUGAAUGCAUCCGGCUGGCUGCUGAGACUCCUGGGAUUUACAAGUUGGACCUUGAGGGCUCUGCACCUUUCCAGCCUCACCUCCUGUGUGUACAGUGUCAGUGGUCGCCUCACAGCUCUCCCGGCCCCCUGGACCAGAUUCACACAGUUGGCUCAGAACACACUGAGCAGCUGCAGCUUUGUGUGACUCUGCACAGCAGGAGAGGCACAGCCAAGGUGUGUACCAUGGACUGGCUCUGCUGAGAGGAGCAGUGACUUCAUUGCUCCUUUUUGACCGCAGCAGCUGAUGCAAAACCAGACUAAGACCAAGUAGAAUGGUGUCCCAAGCAAUAUGAGAUAAGAAGCUAGAGAUGUGUGUGGCCACUGAUGACCCCAGAACGUGCUUCACCACUGCCCUGUGCCUUGCCUGGCACUGCCAGCUCUGUGGAGUGGGUGUUGAGUGCGUCUGCCCAGCCCAGAAGAGUGUUGCACCUUCUUUGCACUGGUGUGAAGUGUUGGGAGUGCAGAGUCAGGCCCAGAGGAGGUUGGCCUGAUGCUGGCUUCCAUCCAUUUAGCCCCAGUUGUCCCAGCAUUACUUCAGACUGGCAAAGCCUGGUAGUACUAAGGUUUGCUACUAUGGCAGCAAACAAGACCAAACAAGAUCAUUGAACUGGUGUUAGACCACCUUGGAGGGUGGAUGUGGAUGUGGGAACUCCUAGGUGGGAGUGUGGCAUAGCAUGUUAUUUAACAAGGAGGGGUUGGUUGGGCAGAGUUAACUAAGCUUCCUUUAGAAAACACUGUUUUGUUUCUUGCCAUGCUGUCUUGUUUUGUUUCUUGUCUGAAAAAUCCAAAAUAACUCCAUAGAUUAGUCUCAGGUUUGCACCAGUGUUUCUGAGAUUAGAGCCUGCUCUGUAGAGCCUCCUGUUCAAGGUCAGAUGAAAUGGCAAGUCACCCCUUGCAGCAGAUUCCAAGAACAAUAAGAUGUUUUAGGAAUAUGCCAUAAUUGAUUGCCUCUAAAGGGCAAAUUUUGCUCUGUGCUGCCAAGCAAGGGCUGUUCUCAGUGAUAAGUUUGCUGAACAAAGUCUCCUGAGGUUCGUGGAGGGCAGCAGGCCAGGACAUUGCGCACGCCGAUCCCAAUCGCACCAAGGAUCAAGUCUGCAGGAAAUCCAAGUGGCCUUGCUAAGGUUCUGUGCCCACCUUCUGCUACUUAGAGCUGGGUUCCCACUGCCACUUUCCAACAACAUUGUUAUCCCAAAGCACUGUUCUCCAGGAGGAAAAGGCUGAAAUGCUGUCAAAAUAGAGGAUAUAAAUAAAGGAACAUUGAUCAAUUGCUUUGUA